UACAGAGGGGGCAAGCGUUGUUCGGAAUUAUUGGGCGUAAAGGGCUCGUAGGCGGUCUGUCGCGUCGGGAGUGAAAACUCAGGGCUUAACCCUGAGCCUGCUUCCGAUACGGGCAGACUAGAGGUAUGCAGGGGAGAACGGAAUUCCUGGUGUAGCGGUGAAAUGCGCAGAUAUCAGGAGGAACACCGGUGGCGAAGGCGGUUCUCUGGGCAUUACCUGACGCUGAGGAGCGAAAGUGUGGGGAGCGAACAGG
rnacentral:rRNA from 1 species